rnacentral:rRNA from 1 species
UUUAUGGAGAGUUUGAUCCUGGCUCAGGAUGAACGCUGGCGGCGUGCCUAAUACAUGCAAGUCGAGCGAACAGACGAGGAGCUUGCUCCUCUGAUGUUAGCGGCGGACGGGUGAGUAACACGUGGAUAACCUACCUAUAAGACUGGGAUAACUUCGGGAAACCGGAGCUAAUACCGGAUAACAUGUUGAACCGCAUGGUUCAACAGUGAAAGACGGUUUUGCUGUCACUUAUAGAUGGAUCCGCGCCGCAUUAGCUAGUUGGUAAGGUAACGGCUUACCAAGGCAACGAUGCGUAGCCGACCUGAGAGGGCGAUCGGCCACACUGGAACUGAGACACGGUCCAGACUCCUACGGGAGGCAGCAGUAGGGAAUCUUCCGCAAUGGGCGAAAGCCUGACGGAGCAACGCCGCGUGAGUGAAGAAGGUCUUCGGAUCGUAAA